UACGUAGGGGGCAAGCGUUGUCCGGAUUUAUUGGGCGUAAAAGGCUUGUAGGUGGCCACGCCAAGUCGGAUGUGAAAUCUCCCGGCUCAACUGGGAGGGGUCAUUCGAUACUGGCGGGCUCGAGGCCGGUAGGGGGAAGUGGAAUUCCCGGUGUAGUGGUGAAAUGCGUAGAUAUCGGGAGGAACACCAGUGGCGAAGGCGACUUCCUGGCCUGUUCUUGACGCUGAGGCGCGAAAGCUAGGGGAGCAAACGGG
rnacentral:rRNA from 1 species